rnacentral:rRNA from 1 species
GGCGGUUUGUCGCGUCUGCUGUGAAAUCCCGAGGCUCAACCUCGGGCCUGCAGUGGGUACGGGCAGACUAGAGUGCGGUAGGGGAGAUUGGAAUUCCUGGUGUAGCGGUGGAAUGCGCAGAUAUCAGGAGGAACACCGAUGGCGAAGGCAGAUCUCUGGGCCGUAACUGACGCUGAGGAGCGAAAGGGUGGGGAGCAAACAGGCUUAGAUACCCUGGUAGUCCACCCCGUAAACGUUGGGAACUAGUUGUGGGGUCCAUUCCACGGAUUCCGUGACGCAGCUAACGCAUUAAGUUCCCCGCCUGGGGAGUACGGCCGCAGGGCUAAAACUCAAAGGAAUUGACGGGGACCCGCACAAGCGGCGGAGCAUGCGGAUUAAUUCGAUGCAACGCGAAGAACCUUACCAAGGCUUGACAUAUACGAGAACGGGCCAGAAAUGGUCAACUCUUUGGACACUCGUAAACAGGUGGUGCAUGGUUGUCGUCAGCUCGUGUCGUGAGAUGUUGGGUUAAGUCCCGCAACGAGCGCAACCCUCGUUCUAUGUUGCCAGCACGUAAUGGUGGGAACUCAUGGGAUACUGCCGGGGUCAACUCGGAGGAAGGUGGGGAUGACGUCAAAUCAUCAUGCCCCUUAUGUCUUGGGCUUCACGCAUGCUACAAUGGCCGGUACAAAGGGCUGCAAUACCGUGAGGUGGAGCGAAUCCCAAAAAGCCGGUCCCAGUUCGGAUUGAGGUCUGCAACUCGACCUCAUGAAG